AUGAUUUCAAGAUCCUCAACUGGCACUUUGGUCAUUGAGCCACGGCUACCGAGCAAACCUGCCGUACCCUUUUUGAUUAUUAGUCAUACGGCCUGCAUCAAGAUUUCAUAUGUAUGUAUGCAUAUACAUUCAUGAUAUUACCAUGAAUUUAAGAUUUUCCAUUCAAUACCAUACGGUCUGAAAUUCGAUUUGCCUGAAAUUUUUGUCUCAGUUGGAGGUUCCUAAAUUUCAUCCAUGUUAUUGACUGGGGAUUAAGCCCUAGCUAGGUUAUUAUAUUGGCUAGGGUAUGGAAUAGAAUCAGAAGUUUUCUAGAAAGAGAGAGAGAUGGGGCAGUGAAAUGGACUUUUACCAGUGUGUUUUCACAGGAUGUUGCAGGAAAAACAACUUGCUGAGGGCUUUUUAUUUGUAUAAAUUUAAUGUCAUUCAACUACAUAUAUAACAUAUAUAUGGUCUUAAAUGAUGUGUACAUAAUUUACACUUAAUAUUGACAUAUUUCAUGAGAUUGGGUCCAAUUUUAUUUCUCAGAACUUCUUUCUAAUAAGGUGAUGAAACUGCUUGUGAGAUAUGGGAAGACUUUAAUUGAGAAUAUGGGAGUAAUGAAUUUGGACCAUUUGAAGAUUCUUUAUUAACCAAAAAUACAUAAAAAAAAUAAACAAUAUUUCUUAAGGAUCUGGUUUUCUGAGCUCGUUGCAUGUUACAGUAUAUAUCUUCCUUUUCAGCUUAAUUAUAGGGUUAUGAUGGCACAAACAUACUUGCUUCACAUUUCUGGUAUAUAUUGUUUCAAGUUCUUAUUUCCUCCCUAUAAAUAAAAUCUGAUGUAGAUGAAAAGAAAGUAGAAGUAGAAGACAUCUGAAAUUGAGUGUUGAAAUGAAACCAUGAUUUUAAUUUGGUCUCUGUGUAUUAAUUCUGUGGCAGUUGGGGGAUAAUGAGACAAGUUAUUUGUAUUCUGACAAUAAUAUUGGACCAGAUAAGUACAGCACAGGCAGUCAUUUAAAUGCUCACCUUCUCAAAUUGAGAAUAGAAUAUGAAGCCAUAUGGCUUGAAGUACCAGCUUCAGGCUUCAAAAGGACAAAUAUAUAA
rnacentral:lncRNA from 1 species